rnacentral:rRNA from 1 species
AUGGUGGGGGGUGGAAAGCUUUUGUGGUUUUGGAUGGACUCGCGGCCUAUCAGCUUGUUGGUGGGGUAAUGGCCUACCAAGGCGACGACGGGUAGCCGGCCUGAGAGGGUGACCGGCCACACUGGGACUGAGACACGGCCCAGACUCCUACGGGAGGCAGCAGUGGGGAAUAUUGCACAAUGGGCGCAAGCCUGAUGCAGCGACGCCGCGUGAGGGAUGACGGCCUUCGGGUUGUAAACCUCUUUCAGUAGGGAAGAAGCCUUUCGGGGUGACGGUACUUGCAGAAGAAGCGCCGGCUAACUACGUGCCAGCAGCCGCGGUAAUACGUAGGGCGCAAGCGUUAUCCGGAAUUAUUGGGCGUAAAGAGCUCGUAGGCGGUUUGUCGCGUCUGCUGUGAAAGACCGGGGCUCAAC